GACGAACGCUGGAGGCGUGCUUAACACAUGCAAGUCGAACGAUGAAAUGGAGCUGGCUCCAUGGAUUAGUGGCGAACGGGUGAGUAACACGUGAAUAACCUGCCCUUAAUUUUGGAAUAACCCAGGGAAACCUGGGCUAAUACCGGUUAAGUAAACCUGUGGCAUCAAAUGGUUUUGGAAAGUUUUUCGAUUAAGGAUGGAUUCGCGGCCUAUCAGCUUGUUGGUGAGGUAAUGGCUCACCAAGGCGACGACGGGUAGCCGGCCUGAGAGGGUGAACGGCCACACUGGGACUGAGACACGGCCCAGACUCCUACGGGAGGCAGCAGUGGGGAAUAUUGCGCAAUGGACGAAAGUCUGACGCAGCGACGCCUCGUGAGGGACGAAGGUCUUCGGAUUGUAAACCUCUUUCAGCAGGGACGAAGCGAAAGUGACGGUACCUGCAGAAGAAGCACCGGCUAACUAUGUGCCAGCCGCCGCAGUAA
rnacentral:rRNA from 1 species